AUUGAACGCUGGCGGCAGGCCUAACACAUGCAAGUCGAACGAGUGGCGGACGGGUGAGUAAUGUCUGGGAAACUGCCUGAUGGAGGGGGCUAACUACUGGAAACGGUAGCUAAUACCGCAUACCAUCAGAUGUGCCCAGAUGGGAUUAGCUAGGUGGUGGGGUAAAGGCUCACCAAUGCGACGAUCCCUAGCUGGUCUGAGAGGAUGACCAGCCAAACUGGAACGCAGACAAGGUCCAGACGCCUACGGGAGGCAGCAGUGGGGAAUAUUGGACAAUGGGCGCAAGCCUGAUGCAGCCAUGCCGCGUGUAUGAAGAAGGCCUUCGGGUUGUAAAGUACUUUCAGCGGGGAGGCGUUACCCGCAGAAGAAGCACCGGCUAACUCCGUGCCAGCCGCCGCGGUAAUUC
rnacentral:rRNA from 1 species